rnacentral:rRNA from 1 species
AUUGAACGCUGGCGGCAGGCCUAACACAUGCAAGUCGAGCGGCAGCGGAAAGUAGCUUGCUACUUUGCCGGCGAGCGGCGGACGGGUGAGUAAUGUCUGGGAAACUGCCUGAUGGAGGGGGAUAACUACUGGAAACGGUAGCUAAUACCGCAUAACGUCGCAAGACCAAAGAGGAGGACCUUCGGGCCUCUUGCCAUCAGAUGUGCCCAGAUGGGAUUAGCUAGUAGGUGGGGUAAUGGCUCACCUAGGCGACGAUCCCUAGCUGGUCUGAGAGGAUGACCAGCCACACUGGAACUGAGACACGGUCCAAACUCCUACGGGAGGCAGCAGUGGGGAAUAUUGCACAAUGGGCGCAAGCCUGAUGCAGCCAUGCCGCGUGUAUGAAGAAGGCCUUCGGGUUGUAAAGUACUUUCAGCGGGGAGGAAGGUGUUGAGGUUAAUAACCUCAGCAAUUGACGUUACCCGCAGAAGAAGCACCGGCUAACUCCGUGCCAGCCGCCGCGGUAA